rnacentral:rRNA from 1 species
UGGGGAAUAUUGCACAAUGGGCGCAAGCCUGAUGCAGCCAUGCCGCGUGUGUGAAGAAGGCCUUCGGGUUGUAAAGCACUUUCAGCGAGGAGGAAGGUGGUGAGCUUAAUACGCUCAUCAAUUGACGUUACUCGCAGAAGAAGCACCGGCUAACUCCGUGCCAGCAGCCGCGGUAAUACGGAGGGUGCAAGCGUUAAUCGGAAUUACUGGGCGUAAAGCGCACGCAGGCGGUUUGUUAAGUCAGAUGUGAAAUCCCCGGGCUCAACCUGGGAACUGCAUUUGAAACUGGCAAGCUAGAGUCUCGUAGAGGGGGGUAGAAAUUUCCAGGUGUAGCGGUGAAAUGCGUAGAGAUCUGGAGGAAUACCGGUGGCGAAGGCGGCCCCCCUGGACGAAGACUGACGCUCAGGUGCGAAAGCGUGGGGCAGCAAACA